CUUGUCUCAAAGAUUAGCCAUGCAUGUCUAAGUAUAAGCACUUUAUACUGUGAACUGCGAAUGGCUCAUUAAAUCAGUUAUCGUUUAUUUGAUAGUACCUUACCACAUGGAUACCUGUGGUAAUUCUAGAGCUAAUACAUGCUGAAAACCUCGACUUCGGAAGGGGUGUAUUUAUUAGAUAAAAAACCAAUGCCCUUCGGGGCUGCUUGGUGAAUCAUAAUAACUUAACGAAUCGCAUGGCCUUGCGCCGGCGAUGGUUCAUUCAAAUUUCUGCCCUAUCAACUUUCGAUGGUAGGAUAGUGGCCUACCAUGGUGGCAACGGGUAACGGGGAAUUAGGGUUCGUUACGGAGAGGGAGCCUGAGAAACGGCUACCACAUCCAAGGAAGGCAGCAGGCGCGCAAAUUACCCAAUCCCGACACGGGGAGGUAGUGACAAUAAAUACUGAUACGGGGCUCUUUUGGGUCUCGUAAUUGGAAUGAGUACAAUCUAAAUCCCUUAACGGGGACAAAUUGAGGGGCAAGU
rnacentral:rRNA from 1 species